UAUAUAGACACACAUUAACUGUUUGUUCACCCUCAUAUUCACCAUCGGGGCGUACAGCUGGUCAUAGAGAAACACACACCAACACAAAUGGAGGAUCAAUCAUUCAAUCAAGAUCUACUCUACGCACUUCUGAUAAUGACUAGGGAGAGACAGGGGAGAAAUUUAGCUUGUGAAGCAGAUAUUAGACACAUCCACUGAGAUAAAAAGCCAGCAUUACCGUGGUCAGAACAACAGGGGGUGCUGCUGCUCUUAUAUACUACAGAACACGGUAAAUCAGGGUUGCUGUGGAUCACAAUCACAAUCCAUUCACAUCAACUGUACAUUAAAUAUUAUGCUUUACACAGAACUUGUUUAACAUAAUUAGAUUGAAAGUCAAUGCUAUUUUGUCAGUAUAUAGACUAUAUUUAUAUUUAUACUGCUUAUACAUUGAAAAAGUUCAAAGGUUGGGUAUAGGUGUCGGGAUCUCAGUUUUUGUUGUUCAUGCGUUUCCUGUUUUAUUGUGAAAUUGUUCCCUCAUGUGUCGCGUCUUGCUUUUCUGUUCCUGCUCUCAGUGUUUUUCCGCUCACCUGUCCCUUUUCCCACCUCACUCCAGCUGUUCCUGAUCUCCUCAUUAGUGCGUGUGUGUGUUUGUGUGUGUCGUCUUUGUUCUCCCUCGUGCCUUUGUGAGUUCAUUCCGUCUUCCCCCUGUGAUGCCACGCUGCAUUUCCCACCCGUGAUCUCGCCGGCGUCUCCUCUUGGUUAAGCUGUCUUGUGGAAACAAAAGGCUGAUUUCUUGGGAUGACGAGACAGUUUAUCAAUAAAAUUUGACUUCAUGAGAGUGAGUCACGACGGACACAAACCGCUCCGUGGGAAAUAAUCAAACAGUAACUAAUUUAUGAACUUUUACCAUUUGUUGUCAGAACGUUUUCUCUUGUGAUUUUGAAACAUCAGCUUGCAACCUGAGAUGACGAGGCCUCCGUACAUAUCAUAGAGAUAACAAAGAGAACAUCUGCAAAAAACAACUUGUGAUUCAAUUAAAAGUUGUUUUCGACAUAAUUCAACCACCUGUCGCUCAACUCCUAGAAACCCUCCAGCCGACUCACAGGAGAACUGGCGAUGCAGUGGCCCUGUCCCCUGCACUCGCUCAUACAACACUACCUAACAAACCUCCCCAUUGAUUUCUGCUUCGCUUCCAAUACCAUCCAGCGGCAAUUUACGAGAUUAGGAGGCUCCUUAAAGCACUUUAAAGUUCACUUCUUCUUUAAAGUGGCGCGCCUCAGGCAGUAAAGGUUGAUAACAACACUGUCAACCAGCAAAAGCCACCGUCAUUACCCAGGACUGUGUGCUCAGCCCGUUUCUGUCCACUCUCUGUAAGAGGCUGUCACAACUCAUCACUCACACCUGACUCCCCCUUAAAACCUAUCAACAGUCAAUAUGUCUGGUCACAAUAGAUGUACCUUUCUUUUUUCUUCCCACCCUUCACAUUAGUGUUUCCAAAUCACCUCCUCCAUCUGCUCCACGCUCAAAGAUACAAAGCUCAGCAAAGUUUCGAUCGCAGGUGACUUUAUCGCUUCUUCUCCACUCAUCACACGAAGUAUAAAACUGUCGCUCCUCGCUCUCACCAUGAUGAGAACCACUCACUCAAAGCAUUCUUGACAUUGACUCAAUGAGAUGCAGCUUCCAGCUCCAGAUGCUUGAAUAAUUGUAAAUAUAUACCUCUUUUAUAUUGUUGUGAGUGCCAUUUAAUUUCAUUAAAUCUAAUUGAAUCAACA